GAUCUGGCUCAGGGUGAACGCUAGCUACAGGCUUAACACAUGCAAGUCGAGGGGCAGCAUGAACUUAGCUUGCUAAGUUUGAUGGCGACCGGCGCACGGGUGAGUAACACGUAUCCAACCUGCCGAUGACUCGGGGAUAGCCUUUCGAAAGAAAGAUUAAUACCCGAUGGCAUAGUUCUUCCGCAUGGUAGAACUAUUAAAGAAUUUCGGUCAUCGAUGGGGAUGCGUUCCAUUAGGUUGUUGGG
rnacentral:rRNA from 1 species